GUGGGGAAUCUUAGACAAUGGGGGAAACCCUGAUCUAGCCAUGCCGCGUGAGCGAUGAAGGCCUUAGGGUUGUAAAGCUCUUUCAGCUGGGAAGAUAAUGACGGUACCAGCAGAAGAAGCCCCGGCUAACUCCGUGCCAGCAGCCGCGGUAAUACGGAGGGGGCUAGCGUUGUUCGGAAUUACUGGGCGUAAAGCGCGCGUAGGCGGACCAGAAAGUUGGAGGUGAAAUCACAGGGCUCAACCUUGGAACUGCCUUCAAAACUCCUGGUCUGGAGUUCGAGAGAGGUGAGUGGAAUUCCGAGUGUAGAGGUGAAAUUCGUAGAUAUUCGGAGGAACACCAGUGGCGAAGGCGGCUCACUGGCUCGAUACUGACGCUGAGGUGCGAAAGCGUGGGGAGCAAACAGGAUUAGAUACCCGGGUAGUCC
rnacentral:rRNA from 1 species